UGGCAUUUCUGGACGUGAUCCCAAAUCAUGCUUAUGACACCAUCGGUCUGAGAGACGCCGCAGCUCGGGCUGAACCUGCGUGAGUGCGCGGCAGUAAUCGUAUCUAAUGGCCUCUUCCCGCACAACAGGUUGUGAUCAAUUUAAUGAAGAUGCAUCAAGGCAUUUUUUUAUGAAAUAUGCAGUGUGCGUCUAGAAAGUGAACUGCCAUAUCGCCAGUGAGUCUGCAGUUUUAAGGACGUUCCAUCAGCGGGGAGCAAAGAAGCAGAACUUCCUGGCUCUAAAUCCGAACUGCACAAUGCAUACGUUUGUACCAUGCUGGUUGUCAGACAGGAAGUAAUCCAGCGGACAUUGGCCUUAACCUCUUAAUUUGAGUCAUGGUCUGAAAUCGUUCAAUAAACACUCAGAAAGUCAUUCGGUGAGUCACAAGCUUCCUUGUAUUCAGUUAAGAUGCUGCUUUGCCUUCUUUGAAGGUGUUUUCCUGCUCAUUCAGAGCUCAUUGCAACAUUUAUGAAAGGUUGAUAUUAUAUAAAUCUAUUAAAAUGCAUUUUAAUACAGCACAACAUUUUGCACAUUUUGAAACAGAAUUCAAUAACCCCAAGCACAAAAGAAGAAUCCAUCUUAGUCUCCGCAUUGCCAAAGACAAAUAAUGUAUGCAACAACUAGUUCAGUGAUUCUGCCUAGAAAAGCUUAAAAAACCGCUGACUCUGCUCAGAAACCCUCCAACAAGAUUUUAGACGGCGCACAUCAGCAGACUCAAUUCUGUUGGGUUUAUGCAAAAACGGCAACGAAUUAAGUUGUUGAACUAGAAAAUCUAAUACUACAGUUUGUCAUCGUACAGCGCAUUCCUUGAACUGAAAUGAAUUAGUAUUUUCUGUGUUGAGGCACGAAUCGACUUCGCCAGCCUUGAACUACAAACACGUUUCAAAAGUCAAAGUCAGGUAAACCUCUCUCUGACUCGAGUACACUCACGCCGUCUAUUUUCAAAAGCAGCAUUCACAGAUAUUAAAAGAGUAGUAUGCUUUGUUGUUGUCACAUGACCUCUUUAUGCAGCAUAUACAGUUCGGCAAGUAAAGGAUAAUAUCCUGUACAUCCAGCUAAAAAUCAACCCACGGCGCACAAAAGCAAACGGUUUUUAAACUUGGCAAACAAGUUCAAACAUUAUGGGUGUUUAAGGGAAAAUGCAACUAUACCACUUAUUUUUUUUUACUACUUGAAUAAAGACUGUCAUGAAAUAUUGAUUUGAAUAUAAUCCAUUACAGUAUACAUUUCUAUUUGAAUGUAGUCAAUAACUGAGGUGCAAGAUGGCACUUUUUGUGCUUGAAUAAAACGAGAGAUUGUGUGCUACGGGAGAUAUUUAAACUCCAUCUCAUAUACCCAGUGUAUUGCCAGUUAUUAUACAGCUUUACUAUUGGCGUCAGUCAUUAUUAGGAAAAACUGACCCAGAAUGUCACAACAGACCAAUCACAAUCGAGCAUUUCAGAGCACCGUUUGAGAUUCAAUUACCUUCUCAAAAUAUGAUUA